UACGAAGGGGGCUAGCGUUGUUCGGAAUCACUGGGCGUAAAGGGCGCGUAGGCGGCCAGCACAAGUCAGUUGUGAAAUCUCCGAGCUUAACUCGGAAAGGUCAACUGAUACUGUGCGGCUAGAGUGCGGAAGGGGCAACUGGAAUUCUUGGUGUAGCGGUGAAAUGCGUAGAUAUCAAGAGGAACACCUGCGGCGAAGGCGGGUUGCUGGGCCGACACUGACGCUGAGGCGCGAAGGCCAGGGGAGCGAACGGG
rnacentral:rRNA from 1 species